UAAAGCAUAUACCGCGCAACUUGCGAUGGGCUACAUUAAUUCAGUUAUCGUUUAUUUGAUAGUACCUUACUACUUGGAUAACCGUGGUAAUUCUAUAGCUAAUACAUGCUAAAAGCCCCAACUCACGGCGGGGUGUAUUUAUUAAAUUAAAAACCAAUGCCCUUCUGGGCUCACUGGUGAUUCAUAAUAACUUCUCGGAUUGCACGGCCUUGUGCCGGCGAUGGUUCAUUCAAAUUUCUGCCCUAUCAACUUUCGAUGGCUGGGUCUUGGCCACCCAUGGUGACAACGGGUAACGGAGGGUUAGGGCUCGACCCCGGAGAGGGAGCCUGAAAAACGGCUACCACAUCCAAGGAAGGCAGCAGGCGCGCAAAUUACCCCAAUCCCGACUCGGGAAGGUAGUGACAAUAAAUACUGAUGCAGGGCUCUUUUGGGUCUUGCAUUUGGAAUGAGUACAAUUUAAAUCCCUUAACGAGGAAAAAUUUGGAAGGGCAAUUUUGGUGCCCACCACCCGCCGGUAAUCUCCAGCCCCCAUAGCGUAUAUUUAAAGUUUUUUGAGGUUAAAAAACCCCCUAAUUAAAACCUCGGGGCCCGGGUGGCCGGUUCUUCCUCCCCCCCAUUUCCAGAUCCAAAAAAAAUCCUUCCCCCCUUG
rnacentral:rRNA from 1 species